rnacentral:lncRNA from 1 species
GGUGGGGUGAGAUCCGGCUAGGAUCUCUGUCCCUUGUUUUAACCUAUUGGAUCAUAACCUCAGGUUAAAUAUAUAUAAGUGUGUGUGUUACGUUAAGUUGUUGCGGAUAAAUGCACAAACGCUACAUGUAGAAAUUGGGGAUGGAUCCACACUGAAGACACUUUUAAGUGAUCCGCUUCGACGACGGGCAACAAUUUGCAAUCUUCAAAUUAUAUGUUUGGGUAUGUCUUCCUUGUAAAUGCGAGUUAAUUUUAAAAGGCAUGUAAAGAUUGUGUAAAUAUUAGGAGUCCUUUAUUAGGAAGGAUAUGUGUUUGUGUUCUUUAUUAUUUCCUUAUGGAACAAGGAUUGUAUUUGUAUAUAAUUGAUUAUGUAAUAAUUCAAGUCAUAAAAUUCUAAUUUGGUAUCACUAAAUAGUUUUCGAUUCUCGUCAAAAGUAAAUUUGAAUUACAUUAUUGCUACUAAAUUAUGAGGCUCAACUCAUUCCCUCUCUUAGCAUAAAUAAUAUCAUUUACUAAAAAAAAUAAAAAACAAAAUUUUGGUACAUUCCCUCUUAGUAAAAAAAAAAUCGUUUGUUAAAAAAAGAAAGUACACAUAUCACCGGUUCUUUUGAAUUGUGGGUUCAAGUGGGUCCCACUACCUAUAUUUCCCUAUUAUUUUGAAGGUCAUUUAUUAUUAGAAAUAUUGAUAACCUUUUUAAUCGUUUUAUCUUUAUCUAGUCACUCAAGUAAACCUCUGUCAUCCCAAAUCUUAUUAGGAAAAUCUUGUACCUAUUCAUUGUGGAAGUAGGAGUGCAUAAACCCUAAAUCCUAUUAUUUUAGGGAAUUGUAAAAAAAUUUAUUUAUAAAUGGAGGGAGAAGAAAUGUUUAAUCAGUCAAUUAGAUUAUACUCAAGGCUUUUAACGUUCGAUAAAUUCUCCCAUGAUCCUUGUAAAACAAAAAGUCUCGUUGGCCUGAGGUCUACCUCUAGCGAUUGGCUCCGGCAGACAACUUGCCAUCUUGAAAUUAGGGGUCCGGGUAUGUUUCUCUCAAAAUAUUUUAUUGUGUUCUUUGUGUUGCUUAGCUGCUUUUUUUCUUUUAAUUUAUUUUGUUCUUUGUGGUAGUGUUCUUCUUCUCUAGCAAAUCGUAUUCGUUUGAAUAUAAUUUUCUAAUUCCAAAUAAUCCAAAGUGUGAGCCUCUCUCGUUGCAUCAUGUUGAAUCGUUGAUAGUAUUGCAAAUCUCGGACUAACUCGUUAUUUAUUUAUUUUUUCUUUUUGUUUUUGUAGAUUGGGCAAACUUGCCUACAGAGGUUGUGGGUUUAAUUUCAGAGAGAUUGACAUUAGACAGAGACUACUUCCUAUUCGGUAUGGUGUGUAAGUCAUGGCAUCGUAAAACGAAGAAUAAUGCAAUACGAAUUUCUACAAUGUCGACUCGUCAUCGUGCCCCGAUGCUCUUGUUUUCUACCGGCAACAACGGUGUGUGGAGGUUAUACGAUGUCAUGCGCGACAAGGUCCUUGAUUUACAGCUAAAAUUAUCAAAAAAACGGUUUUGUGGAUCAUCAAAAGGAUGGUUAAUAGCUGUGGAAGAGGAUUUUACGAUAACCUUAAUCAAUCCGGUGUUUAGGGUUAAGGGCAGGAAAGUGAAAGAAAAUUCAAUCAUCCGUCUUCCUCCGUUCAACCCUCCAAGCUGGGAAGACGUAUGUAUUUGGAGGCCUAACUAUGGUGUUUACAAGGCCACAAUUACAGCUGAUCCAAUACUAGAUGCAGACAAUUGCGUUGUGUUGGUCAUAUACGAAGGUCGUUGUCAGUUGGCUUUUAUUAGACUCAACAAAGACAAAAUGUGGACUUACAUCGAAGACCUGAGGUUCGUACUUUUCGAAGUUGUUCCGGUUCGAAAUCAAUUCUACGCUGUUGGUGGUGAUGAGUCGCAACUUUUAUCUUUCGACAUUACUGCUCGUUCCAGUUCGGAUAUAAAAUUUAUUACUACAAGGAAACCAGACGAAUUUUUUACGAGGCUAUAUCUCGUGAGUGUAAACGAGGAGGAGUUGUUGACGGUUGCUAGGUACAUUGAUCACGAUUAUGAACGUGAGAAACGUGUGACAAAAAAAUUUGAAAUUUUCAAGUUGGAUUAUUUGAAGCGCGAGUGGAUUGAGAAAAAAAGCUUGGGUGAUGUGGCUCUCCUUUUGGGUGACAACUCUACCGUUGCCGUUGUGGCUUCGAAUAUUCCUGGAUGCCGGUCGAAUUGCAUAUACUUCACCCAUGAUGAAGAUCGUCAGUCAACAAUUGAGUUUGGUGGCCGUGGACCUCAUGAUUUAGGUGUGUAUGAUCUCGAAAGCGGAAUCGUUGAUCCACAGCGGCCUUUCACUUUCAGCAAGCUUGCUAUGGAGAUGGUGAGCAACAGUAUUCGGCCUCCGAUUUGGAUUGUGCCGACAUUUCAGUACUUGUAAAGAGCUUGUUUUAAUUUUUUCGUCAUUUAGUUUCUUUAAAACAUGCCCAUUGGCAGAUUUGUCUUACGUAUAAGAAAAAGCGUACACCUGUGGCCAGCGGUCCGAUUUACCGGAAAAUUCGACUUUUUCGAAAAAUUAUCAAAUUUUAUCAGAAUGAAGAUCUUAAUGAGUAGAGUAAGUUUUAUCCCUGUGACCAAGUUCAAUUUGGCCGGGAAAAGCCUCAAUUUGGCUCGCACCCGUCGGAAACCUUAAGGUGGGUGUUCUUCGAUUCGACUUCCUCGGUGUUUCAACGCCCCUACAACUGGUUGGGUCUUGUUCCUGGGUCUAAGGGGAGUUGAUUAAGGGUGGUGGUGGGUGGUGAGACUCGCCGGAAUGGUUUAAGCAUUUUGUGUCGGUUAUAUCCGACACAAUUUCUGUCGGUUUUAGAGUAUUUUCUGUCGGAAAAUUAAUUCCCUGACUUAGACAAUUAUGUCGCUUAUUAAAUCCUCCAUUUUCUGUCGGAUUUUGCUUAAAAUUUGACAGUAAUAUAUGUUUUUUGUCGGUUUUCAAAACGCCACUAAUAACUAGUUUCCUAGUAGUGAUCAUAUACUUGUUUUUCCAAUUUUACCCUCACUUUUGAUACCCAAACACAAUAUUUACAUAAGGAGGACAAAAUAGGGGAAAAAAAAAGAAAAAAGUUGACAAGAAGGCUUCUCUUAAUAUAAUAGUAUAGAAAAAAAAUAUCCACUUGUUAAGAGAAAUUGUCCACACAUACAAAAUGUGUGCUCUCUGCUAGUUAAAAUUAAAAAGACAUCCUAAAGAAAUGGUUAAAUCUUUUGUUCUAAUUCUCCACGGACUGUUGUUGAAGUAGAAGACUUUGUAAAAGCCCAACCCGAUGCCAUUGCACACUCGGCAGCUAAAAUGAUAUCUCGUCUGAAAGCUGAUGGAGAAGAGACCACGCAAGCUCUCAAGUCCUUAUGUUGGAGACUAAAGGGUCUUCAAGUGGAGGUACCACUUCUUUUUUUUGCCGACAUAUUCGAACUUGUUAAACCAGUUUCCACAUCUGUUUCCAAGACGUGGCUGUAGGUUUUGCACUCCUUUUUUUUUUUUUACAAUUUUGAACAACUUCAAAACUUAUGUUCUCCAGAAAGGUUGUGUUAGAUUGAAUGCCCAACUUCUGUGAUAUAUGAGAUCGUCUUCAACACCCACAAAGGCUAGAAUCUGAUUUCGUAGAAUGAGAAAGUCUAUUUUACAUAUCUAUCCCAAUCUUGUUAAAUCCGCCUUUAAUGUUGUUGUUGCAAAUCAAUGUAGUCUUAUCGAUGAUUAAUCUUUGUCGAAUUAUAUUGCAGGAGGCAGUACUUAUUGGUGUAGAUUCCCUUGGAUUUGAAUUAAGGGUAUGCUCAGGAACACAAGUCCAGACAUUGAGAUUCGCACUUAACACACGGGUAAGCCAAUUAUCUUUAAUCCAUGGCGUUUAACGUUCCAUCUAUCUUCCGCAUAUUAUUGAGCCAUCUCUGAACUCUGAAGCACAAUAAAAUGUAGUUGCAAAUUCCUCUGUUACUCUUUCAGAACCAUGAAAUACAACAUGCUUGUGUUGAAAAGUAGCGUUGCCUUUGGUUUGGUUACCUCGUCUACCGUGUGGUUUCAGGCAACUUCUGAGUACAGUGCUGAGAGACAACUCAAUGAUCUGCUAUUCCCAAGGAUGCAGCAGAAACCACAAACAGUGAAACAAACUUAGCAAAUUGAACGGUAACGUCAUCAACACCUUCAAGUGCCAUCAUUUGGUUUGAUUCUAGCUCGUUUCUUCAAGGUGCCUCUCGGCAUAUGUUUCGAUAUAUGACAGGAGGGGUUCCGAAAAUUUCUUGCAUAGUCCGACCAGGUCAUUGUACUGUUAAUUGAGAUUAAGGAUUAUGAAAUUUCAUUAUUUGCGAAGCUUGGUGAUUCUUUGCCUUGUAAAUCAUUUUUGUUUUGAUCAACUGAUUUAUAGGUCUCGUUGCCCUUGUUUUAGGACAGGGAUCCCAGCCGGAUCUCCCCCACCAAGUCCUAAGGAUCCGGAGAUCCGGACCCGUGAAAUUUGAUCCAACGGCUACAAUUAUUAUCACUUUUAGAAGGGUCUCAUGUUUAUAGUCAUUUGAUCAAAUUUCAAUGGUCCGGAUCUCCAGAUUCUUAGGAUUUGGUGGGGUGAGAUCCUGCUGGGAUCUCUGUCCCUUGUUUUAACCUAUUGGAUCAUAACCUCAGGUUAAAUAUAUAUAUAUAUAUAUGUGUGUGUGUGUGUGUGUGUGUGUUACGCUAAGUUGUUGCGGAUAAAUGCACAAACGCUACAUGUAGAAAUUGGGGAUGGAUCCACACUGAAGACACUUUUAAGUGAUCCGCUUCGACGACGGGCAACAAUUUGCAAUCUUCAAAUUAUAUGUUUGGGUAUGUCUUUCUUGUAAAUGUGAGUUAAUUUUAAAAAGGCAUGUAAAGAUUGUGUAAAUAUUAGGAGUCCUUUAUUAGGAAUGAUAUAUGUUUGUGUUCUUUAUUAUUUCCUUAUUGAAC